rnacentral:rRNA from 1 species
GAUGAACGCUGGCGGCGUGCCUAAUACAUGCAAGUCGAGCGAACAGACGAGGAGCUUGCUCCUCUGACGUUAGCGGCGGACGGGUGAGUAACACGUGGAUAACCUACCUAUAAGACUGGGAUCACUUCGGGAAACCGGAGCUAAUACCGGAUAAUAUAUUGAACCGCAUGGUUCAAUAGUGAAAGACGGUUUUGCUGUCACUUAUAGCUGGAUCCGCGCCGCAUUAGCUAGUUGGUAAGGUAACGGCUUACCAAGGCAACGAUGCGUAGCCGACCUGAGAGGGUGAUCGGCCACACUGGAACUGAGACACGGUCCAGACUCCUACGGGAGGCAGCAGUAGGGAAUCUUCCGCAAUGGGCGAAAGCCUGACGGAGCAACGCCGCGUGAGUGAUGAAGGUCUUCGGAUCGUAAAACUCUGUUAUUAGGGAAGAACAAAUGUGUAAGUAACUAUGCACGUCUUGACGGUACCUAAUCAGAAAGCCACGGCUAACUACGUG